AGAGAAGAAAGAAAUGCCAAGGCAGGCUGGCUCCCGCGUUAACGUGACUGGACUCCGACCGUGGGAAUUGAACUUCAGCAAACUUUAAGGACAGGAGACGUGCCUGGGUGUGUUUCUGCGAUGAAUAUUAUUGAGGCCUGAAUGAGUUACAGCACAUUCACAAAGAGAGACUUGGCAGCAGAACCAGUUGCUAACGUGACAUUUCAGAGAAUUCCCCUUUGAACUCACGUCCAGGGUGCAUGCGCGACAUACCAGAUGUUUCCCAGCCAAAGGGCACAUAGCCCCUUCCAAGUUCAACGCCAAGCCUCCACUGCAGUGGAGGUCCGCAGCAACUCAGAUGUCCCUUCUUCCGGACCGUUCCUCAAUGCCCUGCUCAUCUUCACAGAGUGCUUCUCUGUCUUCUGAAAACUUCGUCCUCAGCACCUGCUUCCAUAGUUUCAGCUGAGCGUGCGACAUCGUCUCAGUGUUGGGCCCCGCUUUUCCGCGGCAGGCGCAGGGGCCCUCCCCGUCUCUCGGUCAGCUGCGGCCGCGAUUGCUCUGGGUCUUCAACCUAGGAUCACCAUGGAAACAAACCUGGGAAUGUCUGCAAGUGACGUUCUUGAAUAGGUUAUUUGAGCUGCAAUGUGACCAGCUGCCGCGCCCUCCUGCAGGUGUGCCUGUCCCCCCGCGAUGACCCUCUGCCAGUAAGCUGAAAGACACCCUCCCUUCCUUAGGUGGCUUCUUGUCAGGGCGAAUCCUUGGAAGAGGUGUGACCCUAUGUGGCUGCCCAGCUGAUCUGAAGGGCCUGCCUACCAUCCCCAGAGACCUUCACCAUCUGACCCUGCAGGGGAUGACAAAGAGGACUCAGCCAGGAGAUGGACCGGAGCACAUGUCUGCCCCUGAGCUGACAGCCAUCUAGGACCAAAGUCACAUCUGACACUUGUGAGGACUGAAACGGACUUGCCUACUGAUAUGAAAUAUAUCAUGUCCUGGGAGCCAGACCAUCCCUUUCUCAUUUGUCACAGCUUCAUUUGACUCAUAUAACCAGACAAUAGAAGGAAUACAACCUCCAGAAUGAAGGU